GGCUGUAUGGCUUAGUGGUUGUAGCACCAGCUACAUUUAGUGCCUUGUAUAAAAUGGAUUAUGCUGCUGGCAUAGGUUCGAACCUCAUUGAGGUCA